AGUCGAGCGGUAUAGAGGUGCUUGCUGCUCUUGAGAGCGGCGGACGGGUGAGUAAUGCCUAGGAAUCUGCCUGGUAGUGGGGGAUAACGCUCGGAAACGGACGCUAAUACCGCAUACGUCCUACGGGAGAAAGCAGCGUGACCUUCGGGCCUUGCGCUAUCAGAUGAGCCUAGGUCGGAUUAGCUAGUUGGUGAGGUAAUGGCUCACCAAGGCGACGAUCCGUAACUGGUCUGAGAGGAUGAUCAGUCACACUGGAACUGAGACACGGUCCAGACUCCUACGGGAGGCAGCAGUGGGGAAUAUUGGACAAUGGGCGAAAGCCUGAUCCAGCCAUGCCGCGUGUGUGAAGAAGGUCUUCGGAUUGUAAAGCACUUUAAGUUGGGAGGAAGGGCAGUUACCUAAUACGUAUUUGUUUUGACGUUACCGACAGAAUAAGCACCGGCUAACUCUGUGCCAGCAGCCGCGGUAAUACAGAGGGUGCAAGCGUUAAUCGGAAUUACUGGGCGUAAAGCGCGCGUACGUGGUUCGUUAAGUUGGAUGUGAAAGCCCCGGGCUCAACCUGGGAACUGCAUUCAAAACUGUCGAGCUAGAGUAUGGUAGAGGGUGGUGGAAUUUCCUGUGUAGCGGUGAAAUGCGUAGAUAUAGGAAGGAACACCAGUGGCGAAGGCGACCACCUGGACUGAUACUGACACUGAGGUGCGAAAGCGUGGGGAGCAAACAGGAUUAGAUACCCUGGUAGUCCACGCCGUAAACGAUGUCAACUAGCCGUUGAGGGCCUUGAGCUCUUAGUGGCGCAGCUAACGCAUUAAGUUGACCGCCUGGGGAGUACGGCCGCAAGGUUACACUCAAAUGAAUUGACGGGGGCCCGCACACGCGGUGGAGCAUGUGGUUUAAUUCUAAGCAACGCGAACAACCUUACCAGGCCUUGACAUCCAUGAACUUUCCAGAGAUGGAUUGGUGCCUUCGGGAGCAUUGAGACAGGUGCUGCAUGGCUGUCGUCAGCUCGUGUCUGACAUGUUGGGUUAAGUCCCGUAACGAACGCAACCCUUGUCCUUAAUUACCAGCACGUAAUGGUGGGCACUCUAAGGAGACUGCCGGUGACAAACCGGAGGAAGGUGGGGAUGACGUCAAGUCGUCAUGGCCCUUACGGC
rnacentral:rRNA from 1 species